rnacentral:rRNA from 1 species
CGGACGGGUGAGUAACGCGUGGAAAACCUGCCGUAUACUGGGGGAUAACACUUAGAAAUAGGUGCUAAUACCGCAUAAGCGCACAGCUUCGCAUGAAGCGGUGUGAAAAACUCUGGUGGUAUACGAUGGUUCCGCGUCUGAUUAGCUAGUUGGUGGGGUAAUGGCCUACCAAGGCAACGAUCAGUAGCCGGCCUGAGAGGGUGAACGGCCACAUUGGGACUGAGACACAGCCCAAACUCCUACGGGAGGCAGCAG